AUUGAACGCUGGCGGCAUGCUUUACACAUGCAAGUCGAACGGUAACAGGCCGCAAGGUGCUGACGAGUGGCGAACGGGUGAGUAAUGCAUCGGAACGUGCCCAGUCGUGGGGGAUAACUACUCGAAAGAGUAGCUAAUACCGCAUACGAUCUAUGGAUGAAAGCGGGGGACCGUAAGGCCUCGCGCGAUUGGAGCGGCCGAUGUCAGAUUAGGUAGUUGGUGGGGUAAAGGCACACCAAGCCAACGAUCUGUAGCUGGUCUGAGAGGACGACCAGCCACACUGGGAGUGAGACACGGCCCAGACUCCUGCGGGAGGCAGCAGUGGGGAAUUUUUGACAAUGGGCGCAAGCCUGAUCCAGCAAUGCCGCGUGCAGGAAGAAGGCCUUCGGGUUGUAAACUGUUUUUGUACGGAACGAAACGGCUCUGGUUAAUACCCGGGGCUAAUGACGGUACCGUAAGAAUAAGCACCGGCUAACUACGUG
rnacentral:rRNA from 1 species